rnacentral:rRNA from 1 species
AUUGAACGCUGGCGGCAGGCUUAACACAUGCAAGUCGAGCGGUAACAGAGAGAAGCUUGCUUCUCUGCUGACGAGCGGCGGACGGGUGAGUAAUGCCUAGGAAUCUGCCUAGUAGUGGGGGAUAACCUGCCGAAAGGUAAGCUAAUACCGCAUACGUCCUACGGGAGAAAGGAGGGGACCUUCGGGCCUUUCGCUAUUAGAUGAGCCUAGGUCGGAUUAGUUAGUUGGUGAGGUAAUGGCUCACCAAGACCGCGAUCCGUAACUGGUCUGAGGGGAUGAUCAGUCACGCUGGAACUGAGACACGGUCCAGACUCCUACGGGAGGCAGCAGUGGGGAAUAUUGGACAAUGGGGGGAACCCUGAUCCAGCCAUGCCGCGUGUGUGAAGAAGGUCUUAGGAUUGUAAAGCACUUUAAGUUGGGAGGAAGAGCAGUUAACUAAUAUUUGACUGUUUUGACGUUACCGACAGAAUAAGCACCGGCUAACUUCGUGCCAGCCGCCGCAGUAA